UCACCCAGGGCGAGGCUCAGCCAUUACACUCCGGCUGUGCUGACCCCUGCAAAUUUCCCAAAUGUGGAUAUCUCGAUUGCAUAAUUUCUGGUAGUGGGGGACUGCGUUCGCGCUCUCCCCUG
rnacentral:snRNA from 8 species